rnacentral:rRNA from 1 species
AGGUGAUAUGAACCGUUAUAACCGGCGAUUUCCGAAUGGGGAAACCCAGUGUGUUUCGACACACUAUCAUUAACUGAAUCCAUAGGUUAAUGAGGCGAACCGGGGGAACUGAAACAUCUAAGUACCCCGAGGAAAAGAAAUCAACCGAGAUUCCCCCAGUAGCGGCGAGCGAACGGGGAGGAGCCCAGAGCCUGAAUCAGUGUGUGUGUUAGUGGAAGCGUCUGGAAAGGCGCGCGAUACAGGGUGACAGCCCCGUACACAAAAAUGCACAUGCUGUGAGCUCGAUGAGUAGGGCGGGACACGUGGUAUCCUGUCUGAAUAUGGGGGGACCAUCCUCCAAGGCUAAAUACUCCUGACUGACCGAUAGUGAACCAGUACCGUGAGGGAAAGGCGAAAAGAACCCCGGCGAGGGGAGUGAAAAAGAACCUGAAACCGUGUACGUACAAGCAGUGGGAGCCUCUUAAUGGGGUGACUGCGUACCUUUUGUAUAAUGGGUCAGCGACUUAUAUUCUGUAGCAAGGUUAACCGAAUAGGGGAGCCGAAGGGAAACCGAGUCUUAACUGGGCGUUAAGUUGCAGGGUAUAGACCCGAAACCCGGUGAUCUAGCCAUGGGCAGGUUGAAGGUUGGGUAACACUAACUGGAGGACCGAACCGACUAAUGUUGAAAAAUUAGCGGAUGACUUGUGGCUGGGGGUGAAAGGCCAAUCAAACCGGGAGAUAGCUGGUUCUCCCCGAAAGCUAUUUAGGUAGCGCCUCGUGAAUUCAUCUCCGGGGGUAGAGCACUGUUUCGGCAAGGGGGUCAUCCCGACUUACCAACCCGAUGCAAACUGCGAAUACCGGAGAAUGUUAUCACGGGAGACACACGGCGGGUGCUAACGUCCGUCGUGAAGAGGGAAACAACCCAGACCGCCAGCUAAGGUCCCAAAGUCAUGGUUAAGUGGGAAACGAUGUGGGAAGGCCCAGACAGCCAGGAUGUUGGCUUAGAAGCAGCCAUCAUUUAAAGAAAGCGUAAUAGCUCACUGGUCGAGUCGGCCUGCGCGGAAGAUGUAACGGGGCUAAACCAUGCACCGAAGCUGCGGCAGCGACACUAUGUGUUGUUGGGUAGGGGAGCGUUCUGUAAGCCUGUGAAGGUGGCCUGUGAGGGUUGCUGGAGGUAUCAGAAGUGCGAAUGCUGACAUAAGUAACGAUAAAGCGGGUGAAAAGCCCGCUCGCCGGAAGACCAAGGGUUCCUGUCCAACGUUAAUCGGGGCAGGGUGAGUCGACCCCUAAGGCGAGGCCGAAAGGCGUAGUCGAUGGGAAACAGGUUAAUAUUCCUGUACUUGGUGUUACUGCGAAGGGGGGACGGAGAAGGCUAUGUUGGCCGGGCGACGGUUGUCCCGGUUUAAGCGUGUAGGCUGGUUUUCCAGGCAAAUCCGGAAAACCAAGGCUGAGGCGUGAUGACGAGGCACUACGGUGCUGAAGUGACAAAUGCCCUGCUUCCAGGAAAAGCCUCUAAGCAUCAGGUAACAUCAAAUCGUACCCCAAACCGACACAGGUGGUCAGGUAGAGAAUACCAAGGCGCUUGAGAGAACUCGGGUGAAGGAACUAGGCAAAAUGGUGCCGUAACUUCGGGAGAAGGCACGCUGAUAUGUAGGUGAAGCGACUUGCUCGUGGAGCUGAAAUCAGUCGAAGAUACCAGCUGGCUGCAACUGUUUAUUAAAAACACAGCACUGUGCAAACACGAAAGUGGACGUAUACGGUGUGACGCCUGCCCGGUGCCGGAAGGUUAAUUGAUGGGGUUAGCGGUAACGCGAAGCUCUUGAUCGAAGCCCCGGUAAACGGCGGCCGUAACUAUAACGGUCCUAAGGUAGCGAAAUUCCUUGUCGGGUAAGUUCCGACCUGCACGAAUGGCGUAAUGAUGGCCAGGCUGUCUCCACCCGAGACUCAGUGAAAUUGAACUCGCUGUGAAGAUGCAGUGUACCCGCGGCAAGACGGAAAGACCCCGUGAACCUUUACUAUAGCUUGACACUGAACAUUGAGCCUUGAUGUGUAGGAUAGGUGGGAGGCUUUGAAGUGUGGACGCCAGUCUGCAUGGAGCCGACCUUGAAAUACCACCCUUUAAUGUUUGAUGUUCUAACGUUGGCCCCUAAUCGGGGUUGCGGACAGUGUCUGGUGGGUAGUUUGACUGGGGCGGUCUCCUCCUAAAGAGUAACGGAGGAGCACGAAGGUUGGCUAAUCCUGGUCGGACAUCAGGAGGUUAGUGCAAUGGCAUAAGCCAGCUUGACUGCGAGCGUGACGGCGCGAGCAGGUGCGAAAGCAGGUCAUAGUGAUCCGGUGGUUCUGAAUGGAAGGGCCAUCGCUCAACGGAUAAAAGGUACUCCGGGGAUAACAGGCUGAUACCGCCCAAGAGUUCAUAUCGACGGCGGUGUUUGGCACCUCGAUGUCGGCUCAUCACAUCCUGGGGCUGAAGUAGGUCCCAAGGGUAUGGCUGUUCGCCAUUUAAAGUGGUACGCGAGCUGGGUUUAGAACGUCGUGAGACAGUUCGGUCCCUAUCUGCCGUGGGCGCUGGAGAACUGAGGGGGGCUGCUCCUAGUACGAGAGGACCGGAGUGGACGCAUCACUGGUGUUCGGGUUGUCAUGCCAAUGGCACUGCCCGGUAGCUAAAUGCGGAAGAGAUAAGUGCUGAAAGCAUCUAAGCACGAAACUUGCCCCGAGAUGAGUUCUCCCUGAGACUUAGAGUCUCCUGAAGGAACGUUGAAGACGACGACGUUGAUAGGCCGGGUGUGUAAGCGCAGCGAUGCGUUGAGCUAACCGGUACUAAUGAACCGUGAGGCUUAACCUU